rnacentral:piRNA from 1 species
UGCAGUCUUUAGACCUGAUCUUCUCU